rnacentral:rRNA from 1 species
AUUAGCUAGUUGGUGAGGUAACGGCUCACCAAGGCAACGAUCAGUAGCCGACCUGAGAGGGUGAUCGGCCACACUGGAACUGAGACACGGUCCAGACUCCUACGGGAGGCAGCAGUGGGGAAUAUUGCACAAUGGGCGAAAGCCUGAUGCAGCAACGCCGCGUGAGCGAUGAAGGCCUUCGGGUCGUAAAGCUCUGUCCUAUGGGAAGAUAAUGACGGUACCAUAGGAGGAAGCCCCGGCUAACUACGUGCCAGCAGCCGCGGUAAUACGUAGGGGGCAAGCGUUAUCCGGAAUUACUGGGCGUAAAGGGUGCGUAGGCGGUUUAUCAAGUCAGGGGUGAAAGGCUACGGCUCAACCGUAGUGAGCCUCUGAAACUGGUGAACUUGAGUGUAGGAGAGGAAAGUGGAAUUCCCAGUGUAGCGGUGAAAUGCGUAGAUAUUGGGAGGAACACCAGUGGCGAAGGCGACUUUCUGGACUACAACUGACGCUGAGGCACGAAAGCGUGGGGAGCAAACAGGAUUAGAUACCCUGGUAGUCUACGCUGU